AGCAACAUCACCUUUGUAAUCUUAACACAGAAAGAGAGGCAGACAUGGAGAAAAGGAGGCCUACACAGUGGAAAGAUUGAUCGCCCAAGAAUGGAACACAGACACAAUUAUAAAGUGACAAGCUGAAUAUGUCUCAAUAACUUUGAAGGCUAUCAGAUCUAUGUGCAAUCUACGUGCAAGAUGCCUCGGUAGGAUGCCCCUGUUCCCAAACCUACCCUUGAAAGAGCACAAGAGGAAGGCAAUUUCAACAAGUAGAGCUUCUCCAUCUCCUUACAAUGCACUGCUCCAAAAGGGGAGAAAUCCUAUCGUAGCUAGAAGACAACCAGCCAA